rnacentral:rRNA from 1 species
UUGANGAAAUAAANAUCGGCUAACUCCGUGCCAGCMGCCGCGGUAAUACGGGGGAUGCAAGCGUUAUCCGGAAUCAUUGGGCGUAAAGCGCCUGUAGGUUGUUUAGUAAGUCUGUUGUUAAAGACUAGGGCUUAACCCUAGAAAAGCAAUGGAAACUACUAGACUAGAGUAUGGCAGGGGUAGAGGGAAUUUCUAGUGUAGCGGCGAAAUGCGUAGAUAUUAGAAAGAACACCGGUGGCGAAAGCGCUCUACUGGACCAUUACUGACACUCAGAGGCGAAAGCUAGGGUAGCAAAAGGGAUUAGAUACCCCUGUAGUCCUAGCCGUAAACGAUGGAUACUAGAUGUUGCGUUUAUUAUGCAGUAUCGUAGCUAACGCGUUAAGUAUCCCGCCUGGGGAGCACGCUCGCAAGGGUGAAACUCAAAGGAAUUGACGGGGGCCCGCACAAGCGGUGGAGCAUGUGGUUUAAUUCGAUGCAACGCGAAGAACCUUACCAAGGCUUGACAUACUACAAAUUUUUCUGAGAAGAAAAAGUGCCUUCGGGAAUGUAGAUACAGGUGGUGCAUGGCUGUCGUCAGCUCGUGUCGUGAGAUGUUGGGUUAAGUCCCGCAACGAGCGCAACCCUUGUUUUUAGUUGCCAAUUUAUUGGGUUUUCUAGAAAGACUGCCGGUGACAAACCGGAGGAAGGUGAGGAUGACGUCAAGUCAGCAUGCCCCUUAUGCCCUGGGCUACACACGUGCUACAAUGGCUAGGACAAAGAGUUGCGAGCUCGCGAGAGUCAGCUAAUCUCAUAAACUUAGCCUAAGUUCGKAUUGUAGGCUGCAACUCGCUNCCAUGAAGAA